AACUGAGUGAAAAUCUGAAUAAUUACAGCAUACAAACAAAAAGCAUAUGAUGUUUUCUCCUCAGUGUAACGCACCGAGCAACGCUUCAUUUAGUGAGGAAAUGGCAAGGCCACUACAACUUUCACAAGUAGCAAGGCUUUGGUGAUUUACACACGUGACAUGAAAAUGGGAAUUCGUGAAACACUGAGCAGUUGCUGAUCCAUGUCAAGAUUCAUUUCCAGUGAGCCGGUUGUGCUGGAAAAUUUGUGAGACUUUAUGCCUUCAAUUUGUAGAAUGUUUUAGGUGUUUAAUGUUAAACUGUUAUGAGGCAUUGUUUAAAUGUUUAAGUGUUUAAAGUAGUUUCAUAAGCUCUUACUUCGUGUGAGAAUGUUAAAUUCAAGUGAAAUUGUGAUUAACAUUGGGUGAGGAACUCUCCCCACUUUUAUAUUGGUGUUUUUGGAGAUAUUUGUAAAAUAUAUUUUCUAAACUUUUUAUUAAAAAUAAUUAUUUUCUAAUGUCUACUGUGCAAUUGUAUGCAGACCAUUUCUGUAUGUUUACAAUUUUAAGGUAUUACAAAUAAAUAAAAAAUGAAUAAAAUGUUACAAAAUA